GGAGAGGUGGCAGAGUGGUUGAAUGCGGCUGACUCGAAAUCAGUUGUCCCUUCGGGGACCGGGGGUUCGAAUCCUCUCCUCUCCGCCA
rnacentral:tRNA from 1 species